UUCCGGUUGAUCCUGCCGGAAGUUACUGCUAUCGAGGUUCGACUAAGCCAUGCGAGUCGAAUGUAGCAAUACAUGGCGUACUGCUCAGUAACACGUGGAUAACCUACCCUUGAGAUGGGGAUAAACCCGGGAAACUGGGUAUAAUACCCAAUAGAUCUCGACUGCUGGAAUGCAUCGAGCUCCAAAGCUUUGGCGCUCAAGGAUGGAUCUGCGGCCUAUCAGGUAGUAGUGGGUGUAGCGUACCUACUAGCCUACGACGGGUACGGGUUGUGAGAGCAAGAGCCCGGAGAUGGAUUCUGAGACACGAAUCCAGGCCCUACGGGGUGCAGCAGGCGCGAAAACUUUACAAUGCUGGAAACAGCGAUAAGGGGACCUCGAGUGCCAGGUUACAAAUCUGGCUGUCGUGAUGCCUAAAAAGCAUUGCAUAGCAAGGGCCGGGCAAGACCGGUGCCAGCCGCCGCGGUAACACCGGCGGCUCGAGUGGUAACCGUUAUUAUUGGGUCUAAAGGGUCUGUAGCCGGCCGGAUAAGUCUCUUGGGAAAUCUGGCAGCUUAACUGUCAGGCUUUCAGGAGAUACUGUCUGGCUCGAGGCCGGGAGAGGUGAGAGGUACUUCAGGGGUAGGGGUGAAAUCUUGUAAUCCUUGAAGGACCACCAGUGGCGAAGGCGUCUCACCAGAACGGACCUGACGGCAAGGGACGAAAGCUAGGGGCACGAACCGGAUUAGAUACCCGGGUAGUCCUAGCCGUAAACGAUACUCGCUAGGUGUCGGCAACGGUGCGACCGUUGUCGGUGCCGUAGGGAAGCCGUGAAGCGAGCCACCUGGGAAGUACGGCCGCAAGGCUGAAACUUAAAGGAAUUGGCGGGGGAGCACCACAACGGGUGGAGCUUGCGGUUUAAUUGGAUCAACGCCGGAA
rnacentral:rRNA from 1 species